rnacentral:misc_RNA from 1 species
GAUGAAGAACGUAGCAAAAUGCGAUAAGUAAUGUGAAUUGCAGAAUUCAGUGAAUCAUCGAAUCUUUGAACGCACAUUGCGCCCGCCAGUAUUCUGGCGGGCAUGCCUGUUCGAGCGUUAUUUCAACCCUCAAGCUCAGCUUGGUGUUGGGACUCGCGGUAACCCGCGUUCCCCAAAUCGAUUGGCGGUCACGUCGAGCUUCCAUAGCGUAGUAAUCAUACACCUCGUUACUGGUAAUCGUCGCGGCCACGCCGUAAAACCCCAACUUCUGAAUGUUGACCUCGGAUCAGGUAGGAAUACCCGCUGAACUUAAGCAUAUCAAUAAGCGGAGGA